UUGACAAAGAAGAGCAAAGCAACUUCAAAGCGAUAAAUACUCUCUAACUCUUCUUUGUAGCUUAUAUUGUUUCAUAUGCUCAUUUAGGAGUUUGAAUCUUUUCUUUUUAUUUGUUAAACACUUUGUAAAGGUUCGUUGGUGAGCCCGCAAAACCAACAAAGGUUUUUGGUGAACCCGAAAAACCAAAGUGUAAAGGUUCGUUGGUGAGCCCGCAAAACCAACAAGGUUUUUGGUGAACCCGGAAAACCAAAGUGUAUAGGUUCGUUGGUGAGCCCGUAAAACCAACAAGGUUUUUUGGAUUGUGAGCCCGGAAAACAAUCCAACUGUAAUCCGCGUGAUUAUAGUGAAUUCCCAAGGGGACGCUUGGGGAGUGGACGUAGGUGCUAAGGAGAGCACCGAACCACUAUAUAUUGUUGUGUUUGUGUUUGUGCUUGUAUU
rnacentral:lncRNA from 1 species